AUGCCCGUAGGAUCUGAUAAUGACACCAUGGAGGAUGACGAGGAAGCGAGCAUGUCGUCUGCUAUACCUAGCGAGGUUGAUCCAUUAGACUUUGUCUACACAAACAUCCCAGACACCACUCACAUCCUGAAGCUCGACGCAAACUGCAAACACUGCAAGGCCAAAAAGUUUGUGUCUGAGACUGAUGGGUUCUGCUGUCGCAAUCAGAUCGAACUUAAGCAACCGGAACCAAUCCCAGAGCUGAUGAGGCUAUGGUCCAACAUGGAUGCAGAUUCUAGACAUUUUCGGGAGAACAUACGGUUCUUCAACUGGCAUUUCGCCUUCACAACCCUUGGCGUCAGCCUUGAUGAGAACUACACAAACAUGAAGUCUGGGGUGUACACAUUCCGGGCACACGACACCAUCUACCACAAUGUGCAUUCGUUCGGGCCUAGCUCCCGUCCAGAACUGUCGGCGUUCUUGGAACGGGGUCCCUAG
rnacentral:rRNA from 1 species